AUAUAGGGGAGAGAUCGAGCAGAUGCCUUCGGGCUGAAAACUGUGACAUGAAAGACGGGCCGGACUCGGGUGCGAUUCCCGACGGCUCCACCAAAAGCGCCCAUCCGGCAUGUCAGACCUUCGGGUCGGUGUCAGGGGAUGAGGCUAGUCCCCGGCGAAGAGGUGUCGUAGAACGCGCCCUCUACCGAAAGCCAGGGUGGACGCUUUUGUUGGGGCCGACCAGAUUCGACGGGCGUUGGUAGUGAAGUGGGUUCGAUGGGUGGCUCCCCCAGCCAAGCACUGACAAAUGUCGCUGCAAAUGACAACGCUCCGUUCGCGGUGCGUGAAGCCAUCGCCGCCUAAUAAGCGGUAGAGGGGUGUCCGGAGGGGCGCCUGUCACAAAAAGCCACUCGCCUCCGGGCCGGUGGUUCCCUCCACCACCAGUUUCCAAAGG
rnacentral:tmRNA from 1 species